AGUUAAAGCUCGUAGUUGAACUUCUGUCCAGGUUCGCCACGGUACGCCGAGGCAAUUCUGGACAUACGUCUGCAAGCUAAAAUCGGCCUUCACUGGCGCGACUUAGUAAGUAGACAUUUUACUGUGAAAAAAUUAGAGUGUUCCAGGCAGGUUUUAGCCCGUAUACAUUAGCAUGGAAUAAUGGAAUAGGACUAGGUCCAUUUUAUUGGUACAUUGGAUUUGGUAAUGAUUAAUAGGGACAGUUGGGGGCAUUAGUAUUUAAUAGUCAGAGGUGAAAUUCUUGGAUUUAUUAAGGACUAACUAAUGCGAAAGCAUUUGCCAAAGAUGUUUUCAUUAAUCAAGAACGAAAGUUAGGGGAUCAAAGACGAUCAGAUACCGUCGUAGUCUUAACUAUAAACUAUACCGACUCGGGAUCGGCUGGAAUUAAUGUCCAGUCGGCACCGUAUGAGAAAUCAAAGUCUUUGGGUUCUGGGGAAGUAUGGUACGCAAGUCUGAAACUUAAAGGAAUUGACGGAAGGGCACCACCAGGAGUGGAGCCUGCGGCUUAAUUUGACUCAACGCGGGGAAACUCACGCGGGCCGGACAGCGUAGGGAUUGACAGAUUGAGAGCUCUUUCUUGAUUCUUUGGGUGGUGGUGCAUGGCCGUUCUUAGUUGGUGGAGUGAUUUGUCUGGUUAAUUCCGUUAACGAACGAGACUCUAGCCUACUAAAUAGAAGGCAAAUCAUUCGUUUGCUGUACUUCUUAGAGGGACUAGGGGCGUCUAGCCUCACGAGAUUGAGCAAUAACAGGUCUGUGAUGCCCUUAGAUGUCCGGGGCCGCACGCGCGCUACACUGAAGGAUUCAGCAAGUGUUCAGCCUGGUCUGAGAAGAUCGGGUAACCUAAUGAAACUCCUUCGUGAUUGGGAUAGGGACUUGUGAUUAUUUCCCUUGAACGAGGAAUUCCUAGUAAGUGCGGGUCAUCAUCUCGCGUUGAUUACGUCCCUGCCCUUUGUACACACCGCCCAAGC
rnacentral:rRNA from 1 species